CCGCGGUGGGUUGGCAUGGGCGAAGCCUGAUCCAGCCAUGCCGCGUGUGUGAAGAAGGUCUUCGGAUUGUAAAGCACUUUAAGUUGGGAGGAAGGGCAGUAAGUUAAUACCUUGCUGUUUUGACGUUACCAACAGAAUAAGCACCGGCUAACUUCGUGCCAGCAGCCGCGGUAAUAA
rnacentral:rRNA from 1 species